CCCUUAGAUGUUCUGGGCCGCACGCGUGCUACACUGAGUAAUUCAAUGGGUAAGGGAACGCUAGAGCAUUACCUAAUCUUGAAAUUUGCUCGUGAUGGGGAUCGACGGUUGCAAUUUUCCGUCGUGAACGAGGAAUACCUUGUAGGCGCAUGUCAUCAUCAUGCGCCGAAUACGUCCCUGCCCUUUGUACACACCGCCCGUCGCUCCUACCGAUUGAGUGAUCCGGUGAGGCUCUGGGACCUGGACGGAAAGAGCGUUCCGCUUGUUCUGUUUGGGAAACUUGGUCGAACCUUAUCAUUUAGAGGAAGGAGAAGUCGUAACA
rnacentral:rRNA from 1 species